GAUGAACGCUGGCGGCGUGCCUAAUACAUGCCAGUCGAGCGAACAGACGAGGAGCUUGCUCCUCUGACGUUAGCGGCGGACGGGUGAGUAACACGUGGAUAACCUACCUAUAAGACUGGGAUAACUUCGGGAAACCGGAGCUAAUACCGGAUAAUAUAUUGAACCGCAUGGUUCAAUAGUGAAAGACGGUUUUGCUGUCACUUAUAGAUGGAUCCGCGCCGCAUUAGCUAGUUGGUAAGGUAACGGCUUACCAAGGCGACGAUGCGUAGCCGACCUGAGAGGGUGAUCGGCCACACUGGAACUGAGACACGGUCCAGACUCCUACGGGAGGCAGCAGUAGGGAAUCUUCCGCAAAGGGCGAAAGCCUGACGGAGCAACGCCGCGUGAGUGAUGAAGGUCUUCGGAUCGUAAAACUCUGUUAUUAGGGAAGAACAAAUGUGUAAGUAACUAUGCACGUCUUGACGGUACCUAAUCAGAAAGCCACGGCUAACUACGUG
rnacentral:rRNA from 1 species